rnacentral:rRNA from 1 species
UACGGGGGGGGCGAAGCGUUGUUCGGAAUUACUGGGCGUAAAGGGCUCGUAGGCGGCCAACUAAGUCAGACGUGAAAUCCCUCGGCUUAACCGGGGAACUGCGUCUGAUACUGGAUGGCUUGAGGUUGGGAGAGGGAUGCGGAAUUCCAGGUGUAGCGGUGAAAUGCGUAGAUAUCUGGAGGAACACCGGUGGCGAAGGCGGCAUCCUGGACCAAUUCUGACGCUGAGUGAGCGAAAGCCAGGGGAGCAAACGGG